UUUAUCGUUUCCUUAAACUAAGUAAACAGAAUACAAUUUCAAUCACAUAUAUAAAGAAGAAAUGAUAAUUUAACUAAUUUUUAACAGAUUUACAUGAUGAUAACACUGAUAUAACAUUCAUCUUGAAAUAAAAUCAGAUCUUAAUAUGCUUCAUCAACCAAAUCGGGAUCAAAUCCUUCUUAUUAUCAUCAAGAAUCUGCAAUAUAUGAAUUUGACAAUUACCUGAUUUAUAGAAUAAUAAAAUACAGUAGUGUAGCAACAGAAAUUCAGCAGCAAAUAGUAUAAAAACAGCAGCAACUCACGUGUUAAGACAACCCAAAAAACUCAACAAAUAUGCUUGAAAUUGGUAGCUAUCGACUUCACAAAUUGGCUAAGGGAUCUUUCUAUUUUUCCCAAAAUUUUUGCACUCAACUCCUACUCAUAAAGCUAUGAAGUUUCAGCUUGCUAUAUGUAUAAAGCUUCUGAUUUUUCUCAAAGAUAUAUGCCUUUUGUUUUAGCAACUCUCCAGAUCCUUCCUCUCUAUUUGCUUUUCUUUCCGAUCCCCUCUCUUUCCUCCUCCCCUUUUUGACUUUCCUCCCCCUCUUUUGACUUUUUGUUAUAUGUAUAGUAGAAUAAAAAUUGGGGGAAGGAGAAAUUGAAUUCCUACCCCAUGUGAGCUUUU
rnacentral:lncRNA from 1 species